AGUGGCGGACGGGUGAGUAACGCGUAAGAAUCUAACUUCAGGACGGGGACAACAGUGGGAGACGACUGCUAAUACCCGAUGUGCCGCGAGGUGAAACCUAAUUGGCCUGAAGAAGAGCUUGCGUCUGAUUAGCUAGUUGGUGGGGUAAGAGCCUACCAAGGCGACGAUCAGUAGCUGGUCUGAGAGGAUGAGCAGCCACACUGGGACUGAGACACGGCCCAGACUCCUACGGGAGGCAGCAGUGGGGAAUUUUCCGCAAUGGGCGAAAGCCUGACGGAGCAACGCCGCGUGAGGGAGGAAGGUCUUUGGAUUGUAAACCUCUUUUCUCAAGGAAGAAGUUCUGACGGUACUUGAGGAAUCAGCCUCGGCUAACUCCGUGCCAGCAGCCGCGGUAAUACGGGGGAGGCAAGCGUUAUCCGGAAUUAUUGGGCGUAAAGCGUCCGCAGGUGGUCAGCCAAGUCUGCCGUCAAAUCAGGUUGCUUAACGACCUAAAGGCGGUGGAAACUGGCAGACUAGAGAGCAGUAGGGGUAGCAGGAAUUCCCAGUGUAGCGGUGAAAUGCGUAGAGAUUGGGAAGAACAUCGGUGGCGAAAGCGUGCUACUGGGCUGUAUCUGACACUCAGGGACGAAAGCUAGGGGAGCGAAAGGGAUUAGAUACCCCUGUAGUCCUAGCCGUAAACGAUGGAUACUAGGCGUGGCUU
rnacentral:rRNA from 1 species